rnacentral:rRNA from 1 species
GACGAACGCUGGCGGCGUGCCUAAUACAUGCAAGUUGAGCGCUGAAGGUUGGUACUUGUACCAACUGGAUGAGCAGCGAACGGGUGAGUAACGCGUGGGGAAUCUGCCUUUGAGCGGGGGACAACAUUUGGAAACGAAUGCUAAUACCGCAUAAAAACUUUAAACACAAGUUUUAAGUUUGAAAGAUGCAAUUGCAUCACUCAAAGAUGAUCCCGCGUUGUAUUAGCUAGUUGGUGAGGUAAAGGCUCACCAAGGCGAUGAUACAUAGCCGACCUGAGAGGGUGAUCGGCCACAUUGGGACUGGGACACGGCCCAAACUCCUACGGGAGGCAGCAGUAGGGAAUCUUCGGCAAUGGACGAAAGUCUGACCGAGCAACGCCGCGUGAGUGAAGAAGGUUUUCGGAUCGUAAAACUCUGUUGGUAGAGAAGAACGUUGGUGAGAGUGGAAAGCUCAUCAAGUGACGGUAACGACCCAGAAAGGGACGGCUAGCUACGU